rnacentral:rRNA from 1 species
UACGGGGGGGGUAAGCGUUGUUCGGAAUUACUGGGCGUAAAGGGCUCGUAGGCGGCCAACUAAGUCAUACGUGAAAUCCCCCAGCUCAACUGGGGAAGUGCCUCCGAUACUGGCGGCCUCGAGGGGGAUAGGGGCAUGCGGAACUUCCGGUGGAGCGGUGAAAUGCGUAGAUAUCGGAAGGAACACCGGUGGCGAAAGCGGCUUCCUGGACCAGCACCGACGUUCAGGCACGAAAGCGUGGGGAGCAAGCAGG